CUUGGCUUUAAAGGGCUCCUCUCUGCAUCUGCGGCGAUUGCCGCUUCAGCAGAGGCUUCCAUUAGUCUCCCCACCCCCUAGGCAACGAGCAGAGGGAGAGGAGGGGGAGGUCACGUGGGUCCUGCGACACGAUCGUCGCAGGACCCGUCUACAGUUAUGCAGACACGUGUCUGCUGCUUGUGCUGCCUCUCCUCUCCUCUGCUCCUCUCUGCAUCUGCGGCGAUUGCCGCUUCAGCAGAGGGAUCGUUACUCUCCCCACCCCCUAGGCAACGAGCAGAGGGAGAGGAGGGGGAGGUCACGUGGGUCCUGCGAUCCUCGCAGGACCCGUCUACAGUUAUGCAGACACGUGUCUGCUCCUUGUGCUGCGUCUCCUCUGCCAGUUCCAGCCAGCCUGCUGCUUCCUGCUGCGUGCACUCUGCUUUAGGCCCCCCCCUUAGCUGCCCAGGACCCUGCUGGACAUCAGAACUGCUUACUAAAUCAAAGUGAUCCGCUUUUAGUGAGUUCCCUGGAUUCUUUUAAAUAUAUAAGGGCGUGGUCAAGGUAACAAGCCCGUGAAGUACAGUAAGUAUACACGUCAUCACACCAGCGCGUCCGCGUCAAUAAAGGAAACUAGACGCGCACGCACCCUAAGAACCAGCAAUGGCGGAGGAAGAGGAACCACACGUCCCUGUCGCACCGCUGGGGCUUGUUUUUGAUGCCUGUGCAGACCUCUUGCCUGCUUAUUGGAAUUUUUACUGACUGCCACCUGGCUCAACCACAGGUCUGUUAUUGGGCCUUGCUUUUCUUGAUGUAAGUUCAACAGAAUAUGUUGUUACUAGAGUUACACAGCACAUCCACUUCAACCAGCCACACAUGUAGGAUUUCCUGAAAGCUUGUGAGGGAAAAUAACUAUUUAUCUACUUAAGAGUCAGCUUCUUUAAAGGGUAGAAGUGUGGAAGAUUUAGGUAGAUGCAAUUAUAGUGUGUAAAUUAUGUCAGAUUCUGUACAUCUACAGACCAUAAUAAAAAUAGUUAGCUGUAUAUCACUGUAGGAAUUUAAGAUUGUAGUUUAGAAGUAAAGUGAUUUAUCUCUGAAGAUA